rnacentral:lncRNA from 1 species
GCCACCACCUCUCCCAAAAAGGAAUAAAAUGAAUGGAGAAGAAAUGUCCUUCCAUAUCAACCUCGUCCAGAAAUAUGUAAUAACCAGUUCAAGAGAUAUAAACUGAAAAGGCUCAAAAACAAAUGAUAGAAAUUCUCACUGCAUGCAUAUCAGAAAUGCAGAGGAAGAAAAUUGGGAAAAGGACCAAUAAGAAAACCGGGAUUGUCAUCAUCUACCUUGAGUAUGCAGCAUGAAUUGAUUAAACAUGGGUGUAAGGUAUUCCUAUCAUCCCUCAUCAUUAUCGCAUUAAGGGCAUUAAGGGCAUUGGUACUCAUCACAUAGAAAAUUGGCAACUAGAAAGAAAUACCAAAUUCCAAACAUAUCAGAACUUGUAAUAUUUAUAACAAAACAAAGGAGUCAAUCAAUCAACCUGGUAUGCGAAAACAGUCCUCUGAUUUCUGUUCCGC